AGGCACAGACGCCCAGCUUCCUCAGCCACGACCUAGGCACCGCAGUUCGCACUCACACGCACGCACGCGAGUCAGAGCGGAGCGACCGCGACAGCCGCCUCCCCUCAUGUUCGCCGCGCCACCGCCUGGCCGCCGGCGACUUCCCCCACGCCCCGUCCAGUCCCAGGGACUGCCUCGCUCCUUCCCGCUUGUCUCCCUGACAUAGCCCGGGGCCGUCGCUCUUCCUCAAUCCCCUGCUCGGCUGCUCCCCGCUGCUCAAGACUGUGGAUUGCCUGUCUGCCACUGUUGCUCUAGCCAGGCGACGCCGCCGCUCUAAUCCGGCCAUUGCCUGAAUCCGGAUUCCCCGUCUCCGCGCCGCCACUCUACUCUGGCCACUCCCCGACUCCGGACUACAAUUUAAUUGAUAAAAUAGAAGAUAAGAUAUUUCUCAAGCCUAUAGGGAUCGCAGAGGGCUUCUACCUCCUCAUAGAGGUGUUGCUUCUUCUUCUGCCGCAGAUGAUGUUAUGGGAGGCACGAAUGAAAUAAACAACUGAUUUGGUACUCUUAUAUCCCUGUAUUAUUUCUGGUUUUAUCAUGUUUUAUCUCUUCUAUUGGAUUGUUAAGCACCAAGAUUAAAUUUUAGGAUUAUUGAACAACUGAAUUUAUUUGGUUUGUUAUUGCAUAUUAUCUUUUUUAAAUGUCAUGAUGUGUUUUUGGGUAGUUAUAGGUGCCAAAGUUUUCCCUUGUUGCCGAAAAAAUGAAAAAAUAUACUUUUCGUCCCUCAAUUUUUGACGGAGUCAUUUGGUCCCUCAACUAUGAAACCGGACAAUCUGCACUCCAAAUUCUUGAAACCGGACACAUUUGGUCCCCCGACUCAACUGAAGCGGUAUCCAUGCCAACUCAGCAUUGUUUUGACCGGGUCAUGUGUAGGUGGCAAUAUUUCUAUUUCUCUUCAUCCAUCUCCUAUCUAGACAUCGUCAAACAAUUGACGUGCACUUGCUGCACCACGGCACAACCGUCUACGAGCCAGCGCUGCCACCAUUGGUGGCCCAGCUAACGACCACGCACCGCCGGCUGCCCUGCUGGCCACUAAACAUGCCGCUCCAAGCCGUCAUGCAUGUGACUCCGCGCCUCUGGCUGCACCCACUGCCGCUGGACACCUCCGCGCCUCCUCGAGCACCUGCCGUCGUCCUGCGCGACCUGCUUUCGUCCGUAACAUCUCCUUGAGGCGUGCCUGCAGCCACCGCCGGCUGUCAUGGUCACCACCGACGGGCAUGCCCUGUGCUCCUCUAUAACCAUCCGUGCUGGCCACUCCUCCGGACGCCUGAAGACUACAGGGGGGACAUGGCCGCGACCUGCACCACACGGCACGGCAAGCAUCCACCACGUCUUCUCCUCGUCCCUGAGUUUUCGCAUGAAGGCACGCGGGGAAGUGACGCGGCGCGGCCGGUGCGUGGGGUCCCAGGCGCUGAGCAACAGGAAAUACGAUGGGAGGGAUAGGUUCGGGUUGCGCUCGACGGCGAGGUACGUGCCGAGUGUGAGCUUGUGGGCGAGCGGGGAGGUCAGCGCCACCGCCUCUUCACCACGCUGCUGGAUCCAAGUGUUGGACCGCGCGUGAAGGCCGGCGACGACGGCGAGUACCACCACGGCCGCGAGGUGCCCCAGUCCGGCCAUAACGGCGACGUGCUCCAUCUAGGCAACGAGCAGGUCGAGCCGCGGCAAUCCGCUCUCCUGGCGCCGCGCUCAUGCUGUCGAGACGACCACCAGCAGCAGCUUGCUCCUUGCCCGCAGACGCCAUGUAUAGAGAGAGAGAGAGGAACCGGGAAGUCAAUUCGGGGGUUUCUUUGCCACGUCAGCAUGGAUCGGUCAAAACCGGGAUGAGCCAGCAUCAAGACCGGCCAAAACCGGGAGGAGGAUGAAACUUGUCCGGUUUUAAGAGUUGGAGGUGCAUGUUGUCUGGUUUCAUAGUUGAGGGACCGAAUCUAGACUCCGUCAAAAAUUAAGGGACGAAAAAUAUAUUUUUUUCAAAAAAAAUUGGGCCCGGGUUUCGCUUCAAUCCUGGCUCCACCACUGGCUGGAUGCGUCAUAUGUUAUCAAAUUGCACAAUGGAUCAUGUAGAGCUUAAGAUGUACUCCCUCCGUCCGAAAAAACUUGUCAUCAAAAUGGACAAAAAGGGGUGUAUGCAGAACUAAAAUACAUCUAGAUACAUCCCCUUUUAUUCAUUUUGAUGACAUUUCCGGACGGAGGGAGUACAGCAUAUGUUUGUAUUAAUUUCAGUUUGAUACAAAUCAAAAAAAAAGUUGGAUAAGUAAAAAUAACUCUGGUGUGAAACGAUAAAGCAAACAGCUAAGAAACAAAACUGGCCAAACAGCUUGGUCAUAUAGCUGUGAAAUUGCAAGCAGCUGAGCCGAGAUCGAUGAACGUCAAUGUCAUCUUCAUCUCAAGAUAUCAGGUACGUGCAACUCAUGGUUUCUUUAGUUUUUGUAUAUCUUGCGGUGAGCUAGAAGAAAACAACAAAAUACAUCAGAACUGUUAGAGAAGAGAAGAAGAUUCUUGGUGGUUGCUGUUAUGAAGGCAUGAAUGGUGUUGUCACCUUUUCCAUUCUCUUCUACAAAAGUUCACGGAUCAUAGAGCAGAGCAUGUAGUACUAUAAUACUUUUCAUAUGGUAUUCUCAACAAUAAAAAAAAUGAUACUAUGUGAGAAAGUAAGUGUAUGAGUAUGAUAAAUCAAACUGGGAUGAAACUUCAGUUAAUUGCUUAAAGAUCGCUGAACUUCUCUAGAGGAGCUAGCGAGCACAAGCCUGAAUUUUUAAUGUUUUCUAUUGUUCACGUCAUUUGGUUGAUGGAAAUCAAAAGGUAGAGGUUAAAGAAAUACUGCGAGUCACAGGGAAGGAAAUUAGAAGAAAGAGAAACAGGAGAUGCAUUUUGUUUCAGGUAAAUAAGUUCUCGAUACAUCCAACCCACUAAAACUACAAGGGCACAAAGACAUACAGCAAAGACAUCUGUGACAGCUUAACAAAAAGGGAGUCUGGAACCAACCACCAGCAGUUGCUUAAAAAAACCCACCAACAAAGAAGUCCUUAAUCUUCAUUUUACAACGCAAGGUAGGUUAAUUAGCUUGUGCAGUACAGUAGUAGAUAUGUACAAUCAUCAGGUGAUUGGCCAUCCUUGUUUUUCAGGUGGAUUUGAGCCUGUCCAGCUGGUGUUUGACCUGUAGAUUAACCAUGAACGAGGCUGUACAAUGGAGACCAAGAUCAUGACAUCUCCUCCAAAAUCCUCAGGAUCCUGGCAGUUCCCCAUCAGCAGCUGAAUAAAGAUCUCUCUUUCCGGAAUGAGACCCAAUGCUACCUGACAAUUUGCAACUAUGCUCAACAGAUUAGGUCAGUGGAAACAACUCAAACCAACUGAUGACUGCAACUCGGCAAAUUAAUCUACGCACACGAUCGAUGAACUAGAUUUGCCGCGUGAACAAUCUUCAGAUAAUUGCGAGUAGCUUGUAUAGCAAUGUAAAAUAAUACUUCAAAUUCUGAAGAAGUCAUGAUCAUGAAAGCAGUAUGUCAACUGAUCAUACCCUGUAAGCAGCUGAUGAGAUCCAUCCAUGGAAUGGCUUCAGGGUGCUGUUGUAUGCUUCUUCCACCAUCUUUUUCAGGCUUGAA